rnacentral:rRNA from 1 species
UAUAUCGGAACGUGCCCAGUCGUGGGGGAUAACGCAGCGAAAGCUGUGCUAAUACCGCAUACGAUCUAUGGAUGAAAGCGGGGGAUCGCAAGACCUCGCGCGAUUGGAGCGGCCGAUAUCAGAUUAGCUAGUUGGUGGGGUAAAGGCCUACCAAGGCGACGAUCUGUAGCUGGUCUGAGAGGACGACCAGCCACACUGGAACUGAGACACGGUCCAGACUCCUACGGGAGGCAGCAGUGGGGAAUUUUGGACAAUGGGCGCAAGCCUGAUCCAGCAAUGCCGCGUGCAGGAUGAAGGCCU